GUGGGGAAUAUUGGACAAUGGGCGCAAGCCUGAUCCAGCAAUGCCGCGUGAGUGAUGAAGGCCUUAGGGUUGUAAAGCUCUUUCGCCCGCGACGAUGAUGACGGUAGCGGGAGAAGAAGCCCCGGCUAACUCCGUGCCAGCAGCCGCGGUAAUACGGAGGGGGCUAGCGUUGUUCGGAAUUACUGGGCGUAAAGGGCGCGCAGGCGGCUGCUCAAGUCAGGCGUGAAAGGCCUGGGCUCAACCCGGGAAUUGCGCUUGAGACUGGGCUGGCUUGAGUGCGGGAGAGGAUGGUGGAAUUCCCAGUGUAGAGGUGAAAUUCGUAGAUAUUGGGAAGAACACCGGUGGCGAAGGCGGCCAUCUGGACCGCAACUGACGCUGAGGCGCGAAAGCGUGGGGAGCAAACAGGAUUAGAAACCCUAGUAGUCC
rnacentral:rRNA from 1 species